rnacentral:rRNA from 1 species
UACGAAAGGUGCAAGCGUUACUCGGAAUCACUGGGCGUAAAGGGUGCGUAGGCGGGUCUUUAAGUCAGAGGUGAAAUCCUGGAGCUCAACUCCAGAACUGCCUUUGAUACUGAGGAUCUUGAGUUCGGGAGAGGUGAGUGGAACUGCGAGUGUAGAGGUGAAAUUCGUAGAUAUUCGCAAGAACACCAGUGGCGAAGGCGGCUCACUGGCCCGAUACUGACGCUGAGGCACGAAAGCGUGGGGAGCAAACAGG